AUUCGCUAGUAAUCGCGCAUCAGCCAUGGCGCGGUGAAUACGUUCCCGGGCCUUGUACACACCGCCCGUCAAGCCAUGGAAGCCGGGAGUGCCUGAAGUAUGCAACCGCAAGGAGCGUCCUAAGGUAAAACCGGUGACUGGGGCUAAGUCGUAACAAGGUAAC
rnacentral:rRNA from 1 species